rnacentral:lncRNA from 1 species
ACAUGGGACAGGAAUGGAGGGGGCUGUCAUGCAUGAGGAUAGAAUGUAUUUUGUUGCUGAUAGUUUUAAAUCUCCUUUGAAGGUUUAUUUUGUGAAGGCCAAAGCUUUUAAGAUCCUGAAUUCAAUUCCUUUGGGCUCCUGGCCUCUGUAAACACUUUCAUGGACUACCAGUGCAGAGAGAGGAGCCCUGGCCCUGGAGAACAAAGCCUUCAUGUUCAAGACACGAUUUCUACCAAGAGCUCUCUUCUGACAAAAGUCAGGGAUGAAGACUGGCCACCCUGUUUUCCAGUGGUGAUGUGAAGCCUUCUGGAAAUUCAUCACAAACCAGCAGAGAAGCUGCUUCACCUUUCACAGUGUUGUGACCCAAACUAUCACAGCUACACAGAGACAGCAACAACUCAUUGAGGAGUGACUAUGGCUGGUGAAAUAGGAGAUCUGACCUGCAGGACAGAGAUGGUUCUGCCAAAAUGAGCAGC